rnacentral:rRNA from 1 species
CCUACGGGAGGCAGCAGUAGGGAAUCUUCCACAAUGGACGAAAGUCUGAUGGAGCAACGCCGCGUGAGCGAUGAAGGCCUUCGGGCGUAAAGCUCUGUUGUUAGGGAAGAACAAGUACCGGAGUAACUGCCGGUACCUUGACGGUACCUAACCAGAAAGCCACGGCUAACUACGUGCC